rnacentral:misc_RNA from 1 species
UGGCUCUCGCAUCGAUGAAGAACGCAGCGAAAUGCGAUACGUAAUGUGAAUUGCAGAAUUCAGUGAAUCAUCGAAUCUUUGAACGCACCUUGCGCCCCUUGGCAUUCCGAGGGGCACACCCGUUUGAGUGUCGUGAAAUCAUCAAAACCUUUUUCUCUUUGAUCCCAAAUUUAUUUUGGUCGGGAAAAGGAUUUUGGACUUGGAGGUUCCAUGCUCGCCUUCUUUUGAAAGCGAGCUCCUCUCAAAUGAAUCAGUGGGGUCCGCUUUGCCGAUCCUUGACGUGAUAAGAUGCUUCUACGUUUUGGAUUUGGCACUGUCCCUUGGAUGCCUGCUCCUAACCGUCCCAUGGACAAUGAUGGUGCUCCGGUCAACCGCCGUCUACGUUGGCGGGGGGAGACUGGACCCACAAAAAGAAAACCUUGACCUCAAAUCGGGUGAGACUACCCGCUGA